rnacentral:rRNA from 1 species
AUUGAACGCUGGCGGCAGGCCUAACACAUGCAAGUCGAGCGGAUGAGGGAAGCUUGCUUCCCGAUUUAGCGGCGGACGGGUGAGUAAUGCCUAGGAAUCUGCCUAUUAGUGGGGGAUAACGUUCCGAAAGGAACGCUAAUACCGCAUACGUCCUACGGGAGAAAGUGGGGGAUCUUCGGACCUCACGCUAAUAGAUGAGCCUAGGUCGGAUUAGCUAGUUGGUGGGGUAACGGCUCACCAAGGCGACGAUCCGUAGCUGGUCUGAGAGGAUGAACAGACACACUGGAAGUGAGACACGGUCCAGACUCCUACGGGAGGAAGCAGUGGGGAAUAUUGGACAAUGGGCGAAAGCCUGAUCCAGCCAUGCCGCGUGUGUGAAGAAGGUCUUCGGAUUGUAAAGCACUUUAAGGUGGGAGGAAGGGUUGUAAGCUAAUAUCUUGCAGCUUUGACGUUACCAACAGAAUAAGCACCGGCUAACUCUGUGCCAGCCGCCGCCGUAAUAC